UCAGAUAUCUUUGAAGAAACUAAGAUUUCCUGCCAAAGCAAUAAACUUAUUUUUGAACCUCUCUGCGGAGCCACUUAUGAAUUUGAUGUCAUGUUUCCAGUUAAUCUAGUGACACUAGGAUGGUUCGCCUUAUUUAAAAAAUCCAAUUUUAAGCCUGUUAGACUUACAAUAUCCUUCGCACUUGCAUCUGGAAAAGAAGCACAAUGCAAACUCAGAAAGCAAAUAUGAAGUUGCUCAAGCACUAAUACCGCCAUUGUUCGACAUUUGUUAAGGUAAUGGUCUGAGA